rnacentral:rRNA from 1 species
UUGAAAUGCAGGUGCAGCUGGACUUUUAUCUGAGCUAAAAGCAUAUCUAUUUAGUCCUCGUCAAACAGGAUUAUUACUAUUGCUGCAGCUAACAUAAAGGAUAAUUGUCCUCAUUGCUGACUGAUGCAGGAUUUUACGACACUUUAUGUGUUGUUCAACUCGAUC